rnacentral:tRNA from 1 species
GGUGGCGUGGCCGAGUGGUUUAGGAUGCUGGAUUUGAAAUCUGGAGGUCCCCGGUUCAAAUCCUCCAUCCUGCCACUA